rnacentral:lncRNA from 1 species
AAUUCGGAUCAGGCAAUUCCGCUGGUUUGACCCAUUUUUAAACGAUCGUUUGUCCGGUCUGACCUUUUUUGAAAUUUCAAAUUUUAAAUUUAAGAUUUGAAAUUUAAUUUUAAAAUCUUAAAAUUUGAAAUUUAAAAAUUCAAAUAUAAAAUUAAAAAUUAAAAAUUAAAAUUAAAAUUAAAAUUUGAAUCUAAAAUUAAAAUAAAAAUUUAAAAUUUGAGUAAAAAAUCUGAGUCAAAUUUUAAGAAGCAGGUUUCAACUGCUUAAAAAUCAGAAUCAAAAAUUUGAAAAUAAAAUUAUCAAAUACUCAAUUGAGCUAAAAUUUAUUUUUGAGCUAAAAAUUUCUCUUCAAAAGUUAGCCGAAACAACCACUAAUUCUUUAACAAAAAAAUUGAUUUGAAGAACUGACGGUCCUAAUGUAAGUGGCAAAGGACUCGGUCGUUGAUAUUGAAAGUUUCAAAUUCGAAUUCUAAUUCAUUCAUAUUUUCAGCUAAAUUUAUUUAUUUUUUUAAAAAAUAAACAAACCGGCUAUCUUGCUAUCUCUCUCAAAAAAGUAAAAAAAAUACGGUGAAUGAUUUACCGUGUUCAACUUAACUAACUGGCCCUAAUCCAGCCCACAUAACGCUGACGUGUCGCUUGCGUAACAAGGUCGUUACUUUUUUUACAAACAUAAAUUUAUUUUUAAAAUUAAUUGUUUUCAUA